GGGGUUAUAGCUUAGUUGGUAAAGCACCGGUCUUGCACACCGGAGUCCGGGGUUCGAUUCCCCGUUUCUCCAC
rnacentral:tRNA from 1 species